ACGUCACUUAGAAUGAAAAAGAAGCGCUCAGCGGUGGCUCUAGCAAAAGGGAAACCCGCUGUCCAGUGGCUAUUUCGCAGUUGCGGUAGCCUAUAGUAUUUUAGUGAGCGUGUAGAAAUACAAGUGAAGAUACCUUGGAGUAAAACUGAACCGUACGACCGUGUAGCCUACUUUUUUUCUGCAAUGGCUGAUCAUCAUCUUUUACAUUAUAGCGACUCAGCUGCGGUUGGGAACCGUUUCGCCCGCAAAGGUGCUCUGCGGCAGAAAAACGUGCAUGAAGUCAAAAAUCACAAAUUUACUGCCAGGUUUUUCAAGCAACCGACAUUCUGCAGUCAUUGCACAGACUUCAUAUGGGGAUUUGGGAAACAAGGAUUCCAGUGCCAAGGUUGCUUCACUCCGCUCUCCAGGAGACAUCAUCCCCUGCAGGUGAUAUCAUCAUGUAUGAUAUGUUAGUUACACUGACGAGUGGACCGGUGACACAUGCCCGGCAACCAGGCUGUCACUUAGUGAGCCCUAAUGGCAGCGUGGGAGGAGAGCCGAACAGUGGACCUCAUUAACCAAUCAAGCAGCAGAAGUGUGGGGGCAGCGGAACGGGGGAGAGAGUGAGACAGAGAGUUACACGAGCUAGAGCUUUCUUAUGAUGGAAACAUGAAACAAUAAACAUCUUACACAACCAAAGGCUGGCUCAGCCAUGCUGAUUCUCUUCUUCAAAUAUGGCCUAUCUCUGUGUCUCAGAUGCUGAGGAGGAGCCUUGUACCACCAAGCUGCUCAGUGUUUGAAGACAGCUGGGCUUGGUUGGUUGGAGUGUGGGUUGGUUUGUAGUUUCUUGGUUUACCACAAUAAAGCUCUGCUAUAGGAUAUUAUUACAUGGGCUCAGAGCGUACCUGGUCAGGU